rnacentral:lncRNA from 1 species
GCCUUCUAUUCAUUUGUUUUUUAAUUUUAUUAUUUUGUUGAUAUGCUCCCCACAUUUAUGGGUUUAGCAUAAAUUACUUAAUUUUAAAUCUCUCUUUUAACAUUUGUAUUUUUUCCAUUGAUUUUUAGUACUAGAUUUUAAAUCUCUCUUUUCAAUAAUUGAAGAACAGGAAAUAAGUAAAAUGAAAAAUCUGAUUUUUGUGAUGUUUGAUGGGUGGAAUGGAGUGCACAUGUUAAGGAUAUGAACUUUGUGACUUCUGUAACAAUAUUUUCAUAUGGGACAAGAUGUUGGCCUAUCUUCUAUAUUGGACAUUUGGCAAUAUGAUACAUGUGAAAUUUCCGCUCUUAUUAUCUUUGCAACUAUAAACUAAUAUCUCCAAGAUCAUUCUUCUAUGCAGGAUCAGUAUGUUGGCCGAGAUGUUCUGAUUUCUCCUUUACAAUUUUAAAUGAACAAUUUUAAUGAUCAAUAUCAACAUUAAUGCCUAGAAGUGGUAGUUGAUUAGGUUCAACCAAUUAUUACAGUAUUCAGAUAUCUUGAUUCCAAUGAUAUUGGUUGAGGUCUUAGAACAAAUGGAAACCACGGGGCAUCUCGAAAUUGACCAUCCACCAAGAUGGCUAAGAUCUUAAGUUUUUAAUACUUUGUUUUGUAAUUAAAAUAUGGUAGUUAUUAAUUUUAAAUUAUAUUUCUUUGCAUAAUGAGGC